rnacentral:siRNA from 1 species
CAGUUUACAUUUUUGGCUUUGGUC